GCUUACGGCCAUAUCAGCCUGGGUACGCCCGAUCUCGUCUGAUCUCGGAAGCUAAGCAGGGUCGGGCCUGGUUAGUACUUGGAUGCGAGACCGCCUGGGAAUACCAGGUGCUGUAAGCA
rnacentral:rRNA from 1 species